GAUGAACGCUAGCGGCAGGCCUAACACAUGCAAGUCGAGGGAGAAGCCCUUUCGGGGGCAGAAACCGGCGCACGGGUGCGUAACGCGUAUGCAACCUACCUUUCACAGGGGGAUAGCCCGAAGAAAUUUGGAUUAAUACCCCAUAAUAUUAUUGGAUGGCAUCAUUUGAUAAUUAAAACUGCGGUGGUGAAAGAUGGGCAUGCGUCCUAUUAGCUAGUUGGAGUGGUAACGGCACCCCAAGGCUACGAUAGGUAGGGGUCCUGAGAGGGAGAUCCCCCACAGUGGUACUGAGACAGGGACCAGACUCCUACGGGAGGCAGCAGUGAGGAAUAUUGGUCAAUGGUCGGAAGACUGAACCAGCCAUGCCGCGUGCAGGAAGAAUGCCUUAUGGGUUGUAAACUGCUUUUAUAUGGGAAGAAUAAGGCGUACGUGUACGUUGAUGACGGUACCAUAUGAAUAAGCAUCGGCUAACUCCGUG
rnacentral:rRNA from 1 species